ACACACAUAUAUAUACACACAUACUUAUACUAUGUAUUUAUUAAAAACCAAGCAAAACUGUGAGAAAGAUCAAUCCUCUGAGCUGCUGAUUUAUCCAGCAUAAGAAAACAAGAUCAAUACAAAUACUAGAGAAAUUAAAUUCCUCACCACUAAACAUUUAGGCAGAAUUCUAAGACAGUGAUGGCUGGACACUAGUGUACUACGUUUCCCAGGGUGCUCAAGCAGCCACUUUUAUGGCUGUAGAUCAUGGUAAUAGUAGCCAAAUGCCACCUGUGCCACCAUUGACAAUUAACCACCAUUUUCAUCAAACAUAACACACACCAUAAGAAGUCUGGAGAAAAACCACUUAUCCUAGUACUUUCGCAAAGUUAAAAGACUUGUUUUUACCAGCUCUGUAGCCCUUUUCCUCAAAUUAAAAAACAAAAAAAAAGUUAUAUUAAUAAAUAAAUUAGACCUUCAUUACUACAAUUUUAUAAGAAUGUGGGGGAGGGGGAAGAGACACCGAGGGCUCCAGUAUAUGAAUUAAGCACGAAACAACUAGUCUGGUUUUUAAUUUGUUAAGCAGUCAUUUUAACCCUUUUAAAAAGCGAGAUGGUGGGGGAGGCAACACAUUAGAAAGCCAUGUGCUGCUCAACCUCAUGGCACUGAAAGGGUCAAGGCUGCAGUUUCUGUACAGAUGGCUUUUUGUCCUUCUCCCUGCUGCCAUCUGCUUUGAAAUAUAUGCGCCACAGGCUGCUUGGUGGAUUUUAGCAGCGAAUGGAGCUACUAUUCAGGAAACAGGAUAGAAGUUUAACAGGAAGACUCUCAUACUGCUUUGUUAUGAUUUUUGAGAAGACUGAUA